rnacentral:rRNA from 1 species
CAGUAGCCGCGGUAAUACGAAGGGGGCUAGCGUUGCUCGGAAUGACUGGGCGUAAAGGGCGCGUAGGCGGAUUGCGCAGUCAGAUGUGAAAUCCCCGGGCUUAACCUGGGAACUGCAUUUGUGACUGGCGAGCUAGAGUAUGGCAGAGGGGGGUAGAAUUCCACGUGUAGCAGUGAAAUGCGUAGAGAUGUGGAGGAGUACCGAUGGCGAAGGCAGCCCCCUGGGCCAAUACUGACGCUCAUGCACGAAAGCGUGGGGAGCAAACAGGAUUAGAUACCCCUGUAGUCCCUGUCUCUUAUAC